ACUGGGUGUGGUGACACACCUGUAAUCCCAGUGGCUGGGGAGGCUGAGGCAGGAGGAUCACAAGUUCAGAGCUAGCCUCAGCAUUUUAGCGAGGCUCUGGGCAAUUUAGAGAGGCCCUGUCUCAA
rnacentral:sRNA from 1 species